rnacentral:tRNA from 1 species
GUGGGUAUAGCUCAGCGGUAGAGCACUUGCCUAGCAUGUGUAAAACCUUGGGUUCAAUCCCCAAUACUACA